GUCUUUCCUUCUACAAAGUUCGAUUGGACCUUCUUCGUUUUCGUUUUGACAACAUUUAUGUAGGUAGAGAAAAGCGUCUUGCUUGCCGCGAUAAGCAGUUAUGAAUAAGGGGGUUUCCCCUUUUGAAUUGGUCUCCCAGAUGAGUUCAGGUUCUUCUGAGUUCACCAAACACUCAAUAAUCGGGACACUCCCGAGUUCUGCUGCAAGGUGAAGAGGUGUGUUCCCUUUUUCAUUUUUCUGUUUUAAGAUACGCUCUCGAUUUUUCUUUGGUAUGUUAGUAAUCAUAUCCUUAAUACAAAGAAGAUGAGGAUGAUGUAAAUAGGUGUCUCGAUCUGGAUGGUAAGAAGAAAUAACCAAGUGAAGAGCAGUAUCUUCGGAUCUAGUGAGUUUGGUUGUACGGAGAGACUCGUUUUCCAUGUACAGUUUCUUCACUUUAGUCCACUUAUUCUCCAUAGCUGCAUUGAAUAUCUCAUCUUCAAGAUUCCUCUUUUCUCCCGACUGAUCUAUAGGCGUUACCGGUUCUUGCUCUAAUGGUUGUGGUUGAAUUUCUGAUUUAACUCUAUUGCUAGAGGGAGCUAAAGGGUCCAUUUGCACUAUAGUUGUUUCUGUAUAUUGUGUUGAUGCCACUCACAAGUCACUUACUGCUAAGAGAGGCAUUUUGCUGAGAAAUAUAUUUCUUUACAAGCCUCUAUGCUGGUGCAUGUGUGAUGGCUCUUCUAGUACUCAAAAGUAUUAAAGAAUCUAAUGUUUCUGUACUGUGACUUUUACACUAUCAUAUUAUACAUCAACAUGCCUUUUAACUUGGCCUCAGAUCACAUCUAUGACCUCGAUCAGCCUACUCUAAUACCAUGUUAAAUUGUGUGACCAUCUGACGUAAAAGGGUGAACUAUUUGAGGAAAUGAGUUAGUGUGUCCGACAAUCCUCACACCGUGAACUAGCUUCUCGGGUUGAGUUAGGCGAUUCGCAUGUGCGUAUUUCUUGGUUUACCUAAUGUUAGGCCUUUACGUUACGUGUCAACGCAUCAGAUGUCCAGUCCUAGGCAUGAGGGGAGGAGGCGAGUGUUGUGCGUCCCACAUGAAUCGUCAUUCUCCUUGUACGAUCUUGGUCUAUAGGAUUCUUGAGUUUAAGCGUUGAGGUCUAGUUAGAUCCAAGAUACAUUUUAAAAGUGUAUGCAAAACACAAGUGUAAGACUUCUUAUAAGUCAUUUGUUCCCUUCUUGCUGCUAUCACCAAGCAUCUCUCUUUUGCUUUUUGCCUUUAUUCUACACAACAAUUCUUACCAGUAGAAAUUCUUUUAUGUUUUUGUCCAGCUUUUACCAUAAAUCUUUCUUGCAUUUCCAAUAAUUUAGACAUUAUAACUUAUUAGUAUUUUACUAAUUUAACAUCAGAUACAUUGAUCUAGUUAUGUUGCAACUUGCAAGAUUAUAGUAUGAAAAAGGCUUAUAUAUGACAUCGACCAACUAUUGAAACUGGCUCAUUUAUGUCAUCUGUUAUAAAUUUGGCUCAUCUGUGGCGUCGCCUUUAAAAGUUUGGAUCAUCUAUGCCAUCGCCGUUGCAGAAAAGCUCAUUUGUGUCAUUAUAUUUUGCAACGGUGAUUUUGCAAAACUAUUUUGCCAGAUGACCGUUUAUUAAAAGUCACGUCACCUUAAAUCAACCAGUAUUACUUAAAUACAAAAUAAAGUAUCAUAACCAUUAAAAUAAAAUCCAACACAAUUAGUGGGUUUGAUUUUAUUUUUAGUUAGUUCGAUUUUUGUUUUUAAUAAGUUAAAUUUUUAUUUUAGCUGUGUGAAUAAAAUUUUGUUUUAAUAGGUUCAAUUUUUAACUUUUUAUUUUUAGUACUAUAUAUGGGUAGAUUUGGAUUUGGUAAUGUGAACCUUUAAUAAGAGGUCACGUGGUAAAAAUGGUUUUGCAAAUAUCACCGUUACAAAAUAAUGGCACAAACGAAUCUUAAUGGCACGAACGAACCUUUCUAUAACGAUGACGACAUAGAUGAACUAAACCUUCAAUUACAGUGUCAUAAAUAAGCAAAACUUAUAACAAAUAUCAUAGAUGAAUCAUUUCUAAUAGCUCGAUGGAAUUCCAGGUGUUGCUUCCUAUAACAGUUGAAUAUAGAGAGAGAUUUCGCCGAAAAAAAUAGCAAUUGGUUUCAUUUAUUUUAUUAGCCGGUAUACAUAGAUUAUAUGUAGUUAUACAUAUAUUAUACACAGAAGGGAUAUGGUAAUUUAACGUGGUUUGGACAAUCGACCUACGUCCAUAAAAAGGAGAUCAAUAAUUCACUAUUUAAAAGAGAACGCUGAAUAUUGAGAAAAAUAAUCUUACAAAAUUUCAUCACUCGGAAUAAAAAUAGGUUCACACAAGUGGCAUCGUAAUACUUGCGUCUCGCAAACUCUCCCUCUAAAUAAGACUCUCAGAGCCCUUACGACUAUAUUGUGGACAUUGUCAAGCUAGAAAAUAGGAGUCUCAAAUUAUAAAGUCAAAACCUUUUUCUACAAGAACGAGGUUUAACCAACUAUAAAAAAUUAAUGUAAGAAAGUCGAGAUAAACACCCAACGAUAUGAAGUUAAACAUCGAGAUAGGUAUGAAAGAAGAUAACUUUCGCCCAAAAUUGAGGGAAGAACAUGUUAUAUGUCAUACUUUUUUUUUAUUUAGUAAUAGAUUUGUAACCAUGAGGUAACGAGUUCAAGACUACGUACAAUACACCCUUGUGGUGGGGCCCUUUCCUGGACACAACGCAUAGUGAUAGCUUUAGUGCACCGACCCAUCCUUUUAAUAGACUAGUCAAGUGUACGUGCUUUGCACGUGUGUGUAGCGAUAAUAAUAAGUGUAUAUAAAAAAAUAAAUUACUAUUAUUUAUAUCGAACAAUAUACUUGAUCCGCCUUCAAAAAUUUCACUAUUAUGAAUCAGAUUCAUUUAAAGUCACUUUAGGCUAAUUUGUUGAUAGAGAAAAGCUUACCCUUCUAAAGAUCUUUCAUUUCUCCUUUUCCAUACCACUCACGUUAAGAUAAGUAAAAUCAUAUUCCAUGUCAUGUGUCUUCUCAUCCAAGAUUGAUAAUUAUAAAUUAUGAAACAAAUCUCUGAAUAAAAAAUUUAAAAAAAUAAUACGUUGAAAUAUCAAUUAUUUAAUAUGACACUUUGGAAGAAAAAAUAUAUUUUAGAGUCUUGAUGACGAUACAAAAACAUAAAUCGAGUUACGCAAAUUAUCCCUAAUGUCUAUCUCUAACAACCUGAUGGAAGAAUCAAAUAGGUUAUAAAUUUAGUUUGCUAACUCUUGAAAUCUCUAAUCUCAAUUUUUUUUGUCUUCUAGCCAACUAAUGACUUUAUUUGAUACUUGUUUGACACUAUGAUUUGCUUGUUAUCAUGAAAAAUCACAAUUUUCACUUUAUUUCUCUUAAUAAUUUUUUUUAUGAAGUAUGAUUCUGACAAAAGAGUAUUAACUUGAAUUAUGCCUUAAUAAGAAAUAUAACUAACAUGAAUAAGAAAUAAAAUUUAGAACAAGAAAGGCAUACCUUAAAUUCAUUCGUAAUUGGCAUGAAUCUCGUUCGCAAGUUUUACACAAAUCUUUUUUCAUCAUUUUGGUAAGCUUAAUUUAAACCAACAUGGAAGAAUAUAAACUUAUUUUGAAGGUAAAUUUAAACAACAACAAAAAAAAGCAUCUAACAUAAGCUUAAAAUCCCAGAGAAAAAACUCAUAUUUGGAAGAAGAAAAAAACGUGAGAAGGUAAACGAUAAUUUGGAUCCAAGAGUUGGAAUGUAUAUGUCAAGCUCAUAUAUUUAAUUAAAAUAAAAUAUAAUUCUUUACAAAUAUUUUAGGAUUCUUAAUUUCUUUUCAUAUAUUUUAGGAUUCAUGUCUAUUUUAGAAUUCAUAUAUUUUUAAGUAGUUUAAGAUUCUUAAUUUUUUUUUCCAUAUAUUUAGUUUAUCAGGGUUCUUUCCAUAUAUUUUAGGGGUCCUUAAUUUAAUAAUAUAAUAAUUGAAUAAAAAAGGUAAAAAUACGAUUUCAUCUAUUGCAGAGCGUUAAUUCACGUGUGUUUUUCGUCAAUCAAUAAAAGUUUAUAUAUGGAAAAUUAAAAUUAUUAGCAAGUAGCAUUAUAUCUGUUUAAAUGAUAUGGUUUGUAUCCCACCAAAAAGGACAAUCAUUAUUACCUAUUAUUAAAUAGUUUAUUCAUAAUUAAAAUAGCUACAUAUAAUUAAAUUUUAAUUUAAGCGAAAAUUCAUAAAGGAUUAGAAUGACUGAUCAAUUUCUUGUGGCGAAAUGUAACGAUAUAAAAAAUCUGGCCAAAAUUAUAAAUUAUUAUUAAAAAAAUAUGAUUUAUUAUGAUCAAAAAUCACAUUAUCAAUUAACAUUUAUCUAUCAAGAAUACAUGAUAAUUUAUUAUUUUAAAUUUUAAGAACAUGCUAAAAUCACAAAGAAAACUUCUCAAUUAGUAAUUGUCUAUUAAAGUAAUCCUUUUUCUUCGCCUGGUGAAAUUAAACUAAACUAAAAACUGGAAUAAUCAGAGGUGCAUCUUUGAAACUUUCCAUUGAUCAGUCGCUUCUUGAAUGACAUAAUUUCAGUCCUAUCCCGAUGCCUUCACCAAUUUCUUACUUCUAAACUAUAGGCGUAAAGCAGGUCAUGAACCACAGUUUAAUACAUGAUAAUUUAUUUUUGUAAACAGAAAAAACAUACUAAAAUUUUAGAAACUUACCUCAAUCACAAGUAAAUUUGUCCCUUCAAUUAAAGUUGCUAUCAAUAUUUCACCCAAAAAAAUUUCAAUUAACAAUUGUCUAUAAGUAAUAUAUGAUAAUUUAUUAUUGUAAACUUUAAGAACAUAUUUAAAGUUUAGAAAACUUACCUCGAAAUAGUAAAUUUGUCUCUUCAAUCAUACUCCCUCUGUUCGUUUUAGUUGGCCCUCUUUCUAAAAAUAUUUAUUUCAAUUUGUCUCUUUUGAUGAAAUCAAGAGUAUUUUGUUAUGUUCUUUCAAUACUACCUUCAACAUUAAAUGACUAAACAAAGUAUAUUUACUCAAAUUUAUAUUUUCAAAGUAUAAUUAAUAAGGCUAAUUUGAUAAAAUAAACCCCUAAUAAAUGUUCUCUUAAGGGGAGUGUCAAGUCAAAAAUGGCCAACUAUUUUGAAACAGAGGGGAGUAAGAUAUAUUGAGAUUUUAUUUUUUAAAAAAAAUCUCAAUCAACAAUUUUUUCCAAGAAUAGAGAAUAAUUUAUUUAUUGUGAACAUCAAAACUAUACUAAAAAUUUAAAAAGCAUACCUCGAAUCACAAUCAAAUUUACCUCUCUAAUUAUAGAUUCUAUCAAGAUUUCAAUUGGUAGAAAAAUUCUAAAUAUAAACCUGUUUUUUUUUUCUAUGUACGGUAGUUUUGAAACCUGUAAAAAUAAAAAUAAAAAAUAAAAGUAAGUGAAUUGAAAAUCUCAUAACACAAUGAUGAGUAUAGAAAGCCUCAACGAUCAAAAAAUUCAAGUAGUUAACAUGUGUGAAAAACUAUUAACUUGUAUUAGAAUCGGAAUAAGAAGAAGAAGAGUAAAAGUAGAAGACGCUGAAUGUUUAUAUUUUUUUGUAAAGAUUGAUUUGAUUGAAAGUAUUACUUAUAGAAUUUUAGACAUUCUUUUUAUAUAUAGUAAAAUUUUAUUUAAUUUAGAAUUGUUAAAUAUUAUGAUUUCUUACCUAGAUGAAAUAAGAAGUUUAAUUAAUUUAAAACCUAAAUAACUUAUAAUGUUGACUUACUUUUUAAAAAAAGUCCUAAACCAACUUUGAUUUUUUAAAAACUAAUCCAAAAUAGAAGUCCUUAAAAUUUUUUUGAAAAAAGGCCUAACUAAACAUCACACGUACUAUAUUAUAUUUGGAUAACUUUUAAUAUAAGAAUAUUUGGACAACUUUUUAAAAAUCAAAUUUUACGUGGUUUGAGUGAAAUUUUAAUUUGAGUUGGUUGUGGUUGUGUAUAAGAGCAACAUUAAUAAUUAAGGAGUUCUAAAAUAUAUGGUAAGAAGUCCUAAAAUAUAUGGUAAGAAUUCUAAUCCUUGCAAAAUUCAUAUCAGAAAAAACAAAUUUAACGAAUUUUAUGAAUUUAAAAUUCUUUCUAGUAUAUAUUAAUAAUAAUUUAAGAAAAUAGUGAAAAGACAAUUUUGUCUAUUACGGAGAUUUUUAGUGAAGGGUAAAAAGUUCGAAUCACUUUUCUAACUGUCUUCACAUUUUUAAUAUAUUGUAGAUUUGUAAUCGUAUAAAUAUCUCUGUCUAUGGUUGUAUAUCACAAAUUUAAGAUUUUCUUUAUAAAAAUUUUGUGCCUAAUCAAAUACCAUUACAUAAAUUAGAACAGAAUGGAGAAAUUAGCAGAAUCAUAGAAUAGAAAAGAAUAAAUUAUGUUUUUGAAAGUAGAAGUUUUACUUGUUACAGGUUCGGUUCUCUUCACGAGAGUCAAUUUAAUUGAUUUUUGAAGUUAAAGUUAAUUAGAUUAAUUUAAAAUUUUAAAAUUUAGAUGUUCAAAAACUAUAAUUUGCAGUCUUUCUCAUAUUAAUACGAUUAGUUUUUUUUUUAAAAAAUAUUUUGAUUAAAGUUGAUACAACUUGACUCUUAAUAAGCGAAAUGCGACAAAUUAAAAUGUAUAGAAGGAAAACUAUUAAAAUCAAAUACAUUAGGUAUUCUACUUGGAUUCGUUAUUUUCAAGUUUUUUCUUAGUAAUAUUCACUUGAUUUGAUUUAUUUUUCAGAUUCAAAUUCAAGAUCCAAAGUUGGUGCAUAAAUAUUCACUUUGAAAAUAAUUGUUCUAUUUAUGAAUCAUCAAGUAUAAGUAUUUACAAGAGGCUAUGAUCUAAUGAAAACACAAUAAUUUCUAAAUGGUCAUGUAAAGACUAAAUUCAAAGGUUUUUAUUGUUCAAACCAGUAUUAUCAAGAUGGCUAUUUUGGUUAUUUAAUGAAAGGAAAAAUAACAUAAACAUACAUCUUUUCAUAUUUACGCAAAAUAUACCCUCGUUGUAUGUAUUAUGUGUUUUGACAGACCCAAAAAAAAAUAAAAAUAUCGGGAGCUAAAUAUGUAUCUUUACAAAGGAAAAAAUAUCUUCGUUGGAUGUAUCGGGAGCUAAUUAUGCAUCUUUAUAAAGGAAAAAAUGUAUCCUCGUUGUAUGUAUUAUGUAUCUCGAUGGAUUCAAAAUCGAAAAAACCGUAUCGGGCGAUAAUUAUGUAUCUUUACAAAGGAAAAAAUGUAUCUUCGUUGGAUUUAUCUGAAGCUAAAUAUGUGUCUCGACAGACCCAAAAUUUAAAUUUUCAAUAAUUAUGCAAAAUGUCAGAAUUUCUAUAAUUAAGUUUCAAACGAUCGAGAUUUAUGUUGUUUGCCCUACUUAUUAAACCAGCUAAAAAGUCACCAAAAUUACAUUAUUGUUUAUGGGCCUAUUGGAUCCAAGCCCAAAGUCAGAAAUCAGAAAUGGAGGCCCAAUACAGUCCAAAGCCCAUAGAUUAGACGGUCCAAGAGAGGCAUAUCGUCUAAUUGUUAUCAGGAGAUCAUGAGUUCAUGUGUACAAUAACUUUGUGGUUCAAUCAUUUUUCCUACCUCGUAUGUAUUGGAAGCUUUUAGUGCACUGAGUUGCCCUUUUCUUAUGCUAUUUCUCCUACUUUCAUGCAAUUCACGUGAUUUAACUAGCAAAACAAUUGAUAUCUUCCGAUGCUUUUAACUUAUAAUAAAGAGAACGAGUCUUAUGUAGGCUGCUUACGUAUCCUGUGUCCAACAGGAAAUCAGGUCGAACGUAGUUCCAAAUACAUGGAAAAAAGGAUGUUGAAAUUCGAUGCUAAUAUGACCGACUCCCUAGGUGGGUUGCCUACGUAUCCAUCGAGGAAAUCAGGUCAGCCGUACUUCACCUUAAAAGAAAAUUUAAAAACGUACAAAGAAUUGAUCAUUAAAUUCACAACAAUACAUAAUUGUUCCCAAAAAAUAUGCUACCCAAAAAAAACUGGCCAUCCUACUACAUAAGUCCUAGAUGACAUUUUUUUAAAAAAGGAUCCUGCUACGCUUUAAUCGCCAUUCUCAAGGAAACCAUUGCUAGAGUAGGCAUUGAAUUGAGAGAGUUAAAAGUUGAGAAUUUUAGAAAGUGAUUAAAAAGAACCUAACAGAACGAGCCCUAUAAGAGAUAUAAGCUCAAGAUAAUAAUUAAUAAGGAAAACAGAACGCACGGAGAUCGAACUUUGAUAAGACAAAAUUGUGAAUGACUCAAAAUUCUAACUUAAUAUCGUUGGAUAAAAAAAAAAGGAAUAUAAAAAAUGAUGAUAAUAAUAGAAUUUUCUUGAUUUACGUGCUAAAGCUUGAGUUUUUUUUUAUAAAAAAAAAUAAUGUGGAAGAUCAAUCCCAAUAAUCUCAAGAUAGGAACGACACAUGCCCUUUGAAUGAGUGGAACUUUAAGGAAGAAUCAAAUUUAGGAUCGUCGCUCUAAAAUAAUUUAAAGGAGAAAAUUAGACAAAUAAUGUCAAGUGCAUCUUGCCAGUUUAAGUAAAAUAGAUUUGAACAUCUACCAAUUUAAGAAGCAAAAGGUCAAAAGAGAGACUUAGAAGAGCAUAAACAGAUAAAAGAUUCGAAAGCUCGAAUUUAGCACGAGUUUGGCAAAAUUUGAUCAAGUAGGAAUCUGAAAAAAUUUGAAAUGAAUAUUUUUAGUAGAAAUAUUUGCAAAGAAUUAUGUCGGCAUUAAGAGCAUUUUUUUUUAUUUUUUUUUUACAAGUGGCUGACAUAAGUAUUGAAAUCUUGAAGAAAAAACAAACUAAAAUAAUGACGAAUUAAACUCAUAACGAUUUGUAAGAGAGAAUGUGAACCCUAUAGGAGAUCUUAAGAAAUGAAAAUGAGAGAACCUUAAUUGAAAUACUAAGAAUUCGACGGGCUGAAGAUAAUUUCCUAAAUGACGCUCUAGAAUCAUUAAAAUGCGUUAAGCGCAGAAAUGCUACUAUAAGAAUUUUAAAGAAAUGUCAUGAUAAAAAAUAUGUGAAGAUGUGAUAGAUAAUAAAGAGAUACAUAAGUGCAAAUUUAAUUUUCUUAUAUAAGAAUAAGCACAAAACAAAGGUGAAAAUAACAAAUAAAUAUCAAAUCAAAUCAAAUCAAAUUGCAAAUAAAUUUAUGUAGGUCAAAUGGCAUGUAACAAGCAAAUUUGCAGGACAAAUAACAAAAAUAUGUUAAAUAAUACGUCCUAAUAUGCAGGUGACUCCUUUAUGCCGGAGGUAGACCUAGGCGUCAAGUAUCAAUUGAGAUUCUGACAAAUUGAUGACAUUACUAGAGUUGGAGUUGGAAUUUUCCAAACUCAAUUAAGUCAAAUUUUGACUUGGAUUAAUUUAUCAUUAUCUCUGCAUAUAAUAUGAGAGAUUGUUGUUGGGUCGUAAACCCAUUUGACAUAAGGGUGUUUUCUAAGUUCGUGGAAUGACACCUUGGGUCAAACCACCUAGGACUUAUGCAUGCAUGGCCUAUAUCGAGGGAAGCUCUAUCUUAAGUUUUUCUAAGAUUUGGCUUGCUAAACCCAAGGUUCCCGAGUGGACAACUCGAGUGAGAAGGCUACACGGUCACACGAAAAAAGAUCCGGACACACCGCGCAUAUGCCAACUCUCCUAAAAUUUGGAAUCUUGAAACAAAUUUGCGAGUGCGUGAAACACAUCUCACGUGUACGUGCGAUUGUGUCAGUUUUUCUGAAUGGAAGAAGUAUGAACGGAAUGCCAAUUUCUAUAAAGCAAUAAACAAAUAAGCAAUUUAUAGCAAGUAAACAAUAUAUUUCAAACAUGAUAAAUCAAAACAAAAAGGGCAAAACAAAUAAUAAUAUUAAACAUAAUUAUUAAACUAAGUUUGUUAUAUUUAAGAACCUGAUUUCCCCAGUGAAGUCGCUAAGCUGUUAUACCCCAUUUUUAACACGAGGUUAAAAUAGUAUACAACAUAUUGGAAAACUUCUAAUUAAAUGUAAGGAAGUCGCCAAGCUGUUAUACCCCAUUUUAACACGUGGUCAAAAUCGUAUACAACAUAUUGGAAAACUUCUAAUUAAUAAAUUUAAGGAAGUCGUCACCUAAUUAGUUCUACAGUGAAUUAGGACACCUAUUAUAAACUAUGUGAUUAAGAUAAAUAAAGACUUCAUUUUAAGGUCUGCAAAAACCUAAAAUUCUAGGUAAGGAUUCUAAUUAUCCUAAAGGGAACGAAUUAGGCACCCUAAAGGAUCCGCUAACUACGGUUAACCAGCCAAACUUAGAUUAAAUAAAGAAAUCAAAAAGCUAUGUUAAGAAAGAUAUAAAUAAGGUAUUAAAAAUAUACUUGUCUUAUUAAAAAAAAAACGUGUUAAUUAUUUAUUAAAAAAAAGGGUUGAAAAGUUUUUAGAAAGGCUCACCCACUUUUUAAAAAUUUUAAAAGAUAACUCCUAAAAAUAUGCAACUUUAUUGUUGUCAAAACAGUAAAAUAAAUAAAAUAGUAAAUAAUAAUGAUAGGAAAACAAUAAUAAUAAUAAUUAUUUCAAGUCAAUUCUCUACAAAGCUUUCAAUUAAUAAUUAAAAGUUAAUUAUGGUAAGAAAUCCACAUUUUUUAUUCUAAAAAUGACUCUUUUGCUUUUAAAAAUUGAAUUUCAUAAAAAUGAGUUAAUUAUCCUACACUAAGUGAAUAGAUAAAUAUAUAAUUGUUUAAAUUUAUUACGAUACAACUAAAGACAAAUAAAUAAAAGUAUUCUUUUUUCUUGUCAUUAGAAAUCCAAAAAGGGGGCUUGCGAAGUGCCAUCUUGCAUUUGAAAUUAAUAAAUAAUAAUAAUAAUAAUAAUAAUAAAUAAAUAAAAUAAAAAUAGAAUAACAUUUGAUUUACCAUAUCUAAAAUUAGUAAAGCCGACCUUCCGAACCUAGUUAUAAUAAUUAGCCUACCGCGAGGAAAUUACUUUAUUAAUUCUACAUUAGUAACUAAUGAGAAAUUAAUUUUAUUCUAAAGAUAAGGCCAAUUAUUCUAAAAGGCAUGUUUUGAUCUACCAAACUUUAACACUUCCAAAAAUAUAAAUUAAAUAUCUAGGUCUAGUGAUAUGCUAACUUUGAAAUCUAAGAUGGGCGGAAAAGGGAACGAAUGAAUUUGCUAUCAUAUUUAAGAAUUCACACUAAUCCAAGUAAGAACAAACACAAAUUUUAAAUAAUAAUAUGCGAAAUUUAAACAAAGAUAAUAAUACGUGUCUACAGACGGAUAAAGCUUGAAAAGAGUGAAAGAUACACUAGACUCUGCUAGACGAAAAUGUGAUAGAGUGAAUGCUUCUUGUUGAUGAAAGAUUGUUGUAUGCUUAUUUUAGAUAAGUCCAUAAGUGUGAAGUAAGAGUGGGGCCAAGUCUUUGAUACAUGUGAUUGGUUAGUUGAUGAGUGUGUGUAUGUUCUUGGGGUAGCGCGUGAAAGUUAUAUUGAUAGUGGAUUAGCGAAUAUGGGAAGUAUGUCUUUAUGGGUGUUUGCCUUGAAGUUCAUAUGUGGUUAUAAAGAUAGGCUUGAAUGAUAUGUUGAGAUUUAAGUGGAGGAAUGCAAUAUGCGCUAGUGAAUCCAUAGUAAAAGUUCAGAGUUAGUCAUUGAAGUGGUAAGGCACGAUAUGCGUAGGGUAUGAACUUUAAAAAAAUAUAGAAGGUUGAAUCAUACAGUUUGGACUAAUAUCGUAGAGUGGCAUGUUGUAUUUUGUGAAUUGGAGUUAGGCUUGAUCAUGGUAAGAGGAUUUAAGCUACUAUAGACAUUAGUAGAAAGAUUUAAAAAUGCCCUUAUGAGAAUAAUAAGUUGAAUCAAUGAGUAUGGUAUUUAAGGAAAAUAGUAUAGUUAAGGGAGUAUUCGAGAAAUGUGUUAAGCUUGAAAGUGAGAAGCUGUAUUGCCUAAGACCUGAUUAUUCUAUUCCAUGCUAUAGAGUAGUGUCAUCGUUGUGAUUCCUUAGUUGGAUGUCUUGUGUAAAGUCACUCCCUAAUGUUACUAGAACUUCUUUAGAAAGAGUGCUGAAGAGAUACUCCAGUUAAGUAUAAGUGUCUGGUAUAAUUCAGUCUGUAAUUUAGUUUAACAGUCAGGGCAGACAAGUUACUGUGGUUUUCCACCUUUACACCCAGUCCUGUUAUCCGAAGUCUCAUGCGUAUGAACAUCUCAAGAGAUAAUUUAUUCCAUCCAUGUAAAUUGCGAAUUUAGUCCAAUCUAAGCAUCAUGUUUUAGAUUCAGAUAUUUAGUCAUGACUCAGUUCAUAAGAGUUCAGCGCAUAGUCUCAAAAUUUUUUUCCAAGUAUUUUAGCUCAGACAGUGUAGUACCCUGGUACAAUCUAAAUCUUGUUGUCUCAUAAUUCAUACUUGCAUAAGUUAUCACCCCCAAUUCAAUAUGUACGAUUUGAUCAUGAACACUUUAAGAGAAUCCUGGACUCUCAGCAUGAAUCAACUCCUUAAAGCAAGUAAGGGCAAGUCAGCUCAUAAUUCAGUUUCAUGAUAGAAGUUUAAAUGUUUCAGAUAAGUAUAUCCUUCCUUAGAAGACAUAACAUGUCCACGUUAUUCCAUACCUUUAAGACUUUAACAUUCCUACCCAUCAUUCAGGGACGAAUGAUCCCAAGGGGAGAUAAUAUAAUACCCCGCAUUUCGGGCUAGAACGAAAACCGUCAUUUCUAUGCGUAGAUGAUCCAAAAACCAUAAAUCCUAUGAAAAUUUGGCAUGUUAAUCAGUUAUGUAGUGUGGGAACCUAUUUGAGCAUGAAUUGAGAUCAUAGAGGUCCCCUAACUCAAGGACGAGUUGAAAGCUUUCCCAUCGUUCGAGUUUGAGUGAGCGUCGAAACUUGGGUCAGUUUCGAUUGACCAUAAAUCUUUGUAUAUAACGAAUUAGAGGACUACUAUAUAUCAAUGAAAGCUCUUCGAAUUAUCUUUCCAACGAUACCAAUUUCGCCAAAAUCUGAUACCCGAGCAAAAAGUUAUGGCCAUUUUAGUAACUGAGACAGUAGCAUCGUGCGAUAAGCGUGCGACGCACGCCCUAUCGCACGCACCAAAUUUUUAGAUUCUGUUUCCGUAUUUUUAAGGGAAAAAUGGGUAUCUUCCACCCCUUAUCCAGCUAUAACACGGGAUUAAACUCUCAAAACACCAAACUAUGAUUCUUUUCUCUCAAAUUCAUCAAGAACUCUCCCAAGGACUUCAAACUAAAAACCCAAAUAACUCAAGAUUCAACAGUGAAUUUUCAAAAUUGAUUGAAGAUUUGGAAUCCCCAAAUCGAGGACUUCAAGAAUCAUUCGCUAAUAUCCUACUUUGAGGUACGCGGGGUCUUCCUAAGAUCUCAUGGGUAUAGAAAUCAUGUUUUUAAGAAAAGGGUUUCGGAUUUAUGAAUACAUUCAUGUUUUAGAAGCCUUAAUGAUAUUGUUUUGGUCUUUAGGCUUUCCCCAAAUUGAUUUGAAAUUAUAUAUAUAUAUAUAUAUGAAUGCAUGUGUUUAAGGAUGAAUAUUCAAUUGAGAGCAUGAUUUAUAAUGAAUCCCUCUCUUGUUAUGAAUUUUUCCAUCUUUCGUAUGAUAUGAAUUGUUUUGCAAUUCAUUUUGAAAAGCAUGAUAUGAAAUAUUUGGAUUUUGCUAUGACUUGAAUAUGAUUUUUGAACACGAAAGAGAGGGUUGUGCAUAUUGAUAAAUGUUGAAUACACAUAUAAUGAAAGAGUACAUAGUUUUGCGAAAAGCACAUGACCACCAUAUGUUUGAAGAAUUCUUGCAUAGUUUUGACUUAUGUUUCAGAACAUGAAAUCUCUUGUAUUGUUUGCCAUGUUGGGUGGUUUGAAUUGAGUUUUAAUGAAAGAAUUAUGCAUGAUACAUUAUGGCUCAGAAAAUAGGACUUGCAAGUCUUGGUGUGACGACACCAACUCAGACAAUGCCAUGGUAAUUCAGAACAGAAUAGAAUGCAUGUUUGAAAUCAGAUUUUCAGAUGUUGAAACUAGAAUAAUGCAUGUUUCAGAACAAGAUAAAAUUGGGCAUAAAGAGAGCUUAGGUGGUUCCCCUGAAAAAGGCACGAGUUCAGACAACUCAUUGCCCAAAACAGUGAUUUGCCGAUCCGGGUAUAUUAUAUUACACUGGCCUAGUGCCCUGUAGCGUAUUAGACUCAGACACUCCAACCCUUGCGGCACACUUGGGUUAGGGGCUUCUCCACCGAGUCAAUGGCAAACUCCAUAUAGCCCAUGGGGUUUUAGACUUGUAGAGGUAUACCACUUAACUCAGAAGUAAUACAACGAUCAGAACUUGCAUUAACAGAAAGGUUUUAUGAUUAUAAAGAAUGCCCAUGUGUUAUCUUUCAUGAUGUUUAUGACUAGCUCUCAAUUAUUUUAUUUAUAUAAAAACUUUAUUUUGGAUUUCUUCGCAUACCAGUACAUCUGUAUUAACCCCUCUAUACAGUCUAAGGGUCCUGAUAAGCAGUAGAUUCAUUAGACAGGAGUGAAGAGUACCAGUUGGUGAGCCUUCUAUUUCAGAAGGCCUAGUUUCUUUCAGACAAUUAUUAUUUAUUAUGAUUUUGGUCUAUUGGGGCCUUGUCCCAGUUUUCGGACAAUUGUUAUUUGAUCAUGCAGUAGAGAUUUCGCAGACAGUGUCAGACAAUGUUUUGUUGAUAUUGGAUUUUAUUCCUCAUUAUUAUACUAAAUCUAGAUUAUGACCGUGUUUCCGUAGAAGAUUUUAUUUUCGCAUUUCCUAUUGAUAUAUGAAUGGUGUAUAUGAUUACAAGUAAGAAGGGCUCUCGGGCCUGCAUGGUUCGGAUGUCCGUCACAGCUGGGCCCGGUUCGGGUCAUGACAGAUGUUCUCCUAUAUAUAUGAUUUCCAUUGGACCCAGAAAUGAUACAUUGGACGAAUCUGUGCUUUUAACUUUGUUAGAAUACAAGUAGCAUUGUUUGUGAGGUGAAAAUUCUCUUUUGUUCAACCCAAAAGAGGAACUUUUUAAAGCUGCUCCAGAUUUGAGUUGUGUACUGCUGCUGGUAUGUGUUUCGCUUGGAGAAACAGAUGGCAAUUUAGGAAUGAUUUAGAUACUCUGAGUGAGCAUCGUUUGACAUCCAAAUGAAUUUGGAAUCUGGUUAUCAUUCAUUAGAAGAAAGUAAUAGGUUUGGGUUCUGUCAAAUCUAUAGAUUCUUCAUUAUUGACUCAUUUUUUUGGAGUACCAAACCUAUCAUUUCAAUUUUUUGUUUUUCAGUAGCAUUUAGUGCCCUAUAGAGUUCAUCUUUGACCUUAUUAAUGUUGUUCUUUUUCACAUUCAGAGUGUGUUGUUCUUGCUUCUUCUAUUCCUUGACCAUAGAAGUAACGGGUAUGCAAUUGUUUUUCAGGGCAUGUCAAAGAAAAGGCGUUCUCGAAGUGUUUCUGUAGGAAUGCAGCAAAGCUCUUGAGGUAUGGCAAAUCUACAUGACGAUUACGAGAAUUUUCUCCCUUAUGACUUUAUAAAACUUUGUUCUGUGAAUUUACCUAUAAGCAAAACUCAGGGGUUCAAAUGGUUCGGAGCUUGGAGUUCCCAAUUCUGAGCCUCAAAACUGCCAUCAUAUUUGCUCGGUUCUGGGGAAGACGGUCCAAAUAAUACCUUGUAUUGUUCCUUUGAGAGAUGAUGUGCAGUUAUUUGGAACCAAGUUUUUCCCGGAAUGGCCUUUCCAAACCAUGCAGCUGAUGGUAUUGAAGUGCAACUGCUGAGGACAAGCCGGGGUUAAUCCUCUACUGCAUUUUGAAGAAAGGUUGUGACUAAGAAGGUGUACCAUUGUUAUCGUUUUGUGGCUGGUAACAAUUAUCACUCCGCUAUUUUGUUGAUCUCUAUCCGGUGUUCAAAUGUAAGGUCCCGGUUGUUUAAACCUCUGUUGUAUCUUCCAUCUUUUUGUGUUCAUUAGAUGGUACAGCACUGAAUGUUAGCUACUUGUCCCUAAACGUACAUAUUUUCUUUCUAAUAAUAUAUUAUCGUACACGUUGAGUGAGUCCUAAAUUACGUAUUGAAGAUAUGUCUUACCUAUUUACAUCCAAUAAGAAGCCAAAAAGCGAUAACCUUCAGAAGUGUGUCCUUGUGGUCAGUGAAUUGGGAGUAGAGCAAUGAGGUCUCAGGUUCACAUCUCAGUGGAGGCACAAGGUGUGAUUUCGUUCCAUCUGUUCAAACUUUGGUGGGCAGAGUUACCCUGUACCGUCGUUGGUUUCGUUAUUUAGCACGCUAUUGUUAACAAGUAGCCUAGUCGGAUCGAGUGGUCAGGACCCUCGGUGUAAACAAGUACGUGCUCAAUGCUGACCCUCGGUGUCUCUUACACUUGUUUUUACGCUAGUGAUGGCUCCUAAAUACAUGUCCCUUAUGUUAAUUAUAUAUUUAAUAUAAUUUUCUUUUGUCCCCACCACCCCACCGAAGGACCUUUCUAGGUACUUUAUCAGAUGCUUUCUCUACGUCAAUGAACACCAAACUUUUUCCCUUCGCAAUGAACUCCCAUCAAUCCCCUUAGCAGAAAUAUUGCCUCUGUUGUAAAUCUACCGGCAUAAAUCCAAUUCGUGUCACUUUUAUAGUAUCCCUAAAUCUACACUCCAUUGCUCUUUAAAUAGACUAGCUACAAUCUAAAUUUAAUAGAGCUUGAGCGAGGUAUACCGGGGAGUCCUUUUAUUUGGAUUUUUAAGUUAUAUUUGGAUAGAAAAUGAUCCUUGAAAAGCCGAACUUUUUCAUUGUUCAAUAAGAUUACAGAUAGGAUAAUACAUAUAUCAUGCUAUCUAGAAUUAUAGAUACGAUAAGUUCACAUGAAUUACGGGAUCAAACAGCAUUUAGCACCCUACUUAACUAGCUUUAGACUGGAAAACAAGGUAUGUGAAGUCAUGGAACUCUUAAAAAAGUGCAAGUUUAUUCAGGAUACAUAGAAAACAUGAUGGCUCCACCUCGCCUCCCCUCGAUGAAGGGAGACCGUUCUUGGAGGCAUCGUUUUUUUGAUGCAAAACAAUCCAGUCUUCAUUUGGAAACUAGAGUAGGAAACCGUUCAACACUCUGCUCUUGUGAUGAUUUCUACCUGUUUCAAUCAUCUUCUUCUUUUUCUUUCUUCUGAUCUGAGCUAGUUGCUUCUGAGGAAAUGGUAUAAAAUACCUUAUAGCUGCGAAGUGGCAGCUUUUGGAUGUAUGACCUUAUAAGAUCAACAUAGAGAGGGAAUUGAUUAAAUGCAAAAAACACCACAGGUAUGCAUGUUGCCGCGUAUAUUGGAAAUGCUGCAUUCUUGAAGUUAUUCCGGAUGACAAAGAAAUGUGCAGCACAGAAUGAGACCAAGAUAGCAGUUAUCGAUGCAAAAAGCGAAGUUAAUCCAAGGAGCAACUUUCGCGGCAAAUCCUUCUCGAAAUCCUUGUGUUGGCACCGAGAAGUGAGGAUAGCUAAGAAAAACACCAGGGCCGUGACAGAGAAGCAAAGAGAAACAAGUGAUGCUAUAGAAAACACGUCAAAAGCAGGUUCAUUUUCUAAGUGUGGUUUGUCUUUAACAUCGGCUUCGCCUGGGAUUGUGGUAGAUGUAACGAAUGCAACUGUAGCAAUUAGUGCUGCUAAUGACGCGGCGGUUUUGCUGAUCCAUUCGGUGCUCUCUACGAGUAACUUUGCAUGCGUCUCUUCGAAGACCCGUCUUGGUGUCUGACCUUUCUUGUUAUAACGAACAUCUAAUUUUGGCAAAGUGUGCUUGACAUACUGUAGUAUGAUAGGAAAAUUCUUUACGUUUUAGUGUAUUUAAGUUAAUCCCUUGUGAAAUAAAGAGAUGAUUGGUUGUUAAAAAUCUCUUACCUUGUACCACUUCCAUUCGCCUUGCAAUUGUAGAGCUUUACCAGGGAUGCGCCACACCUCGAGAUUCUGAUACUUUGCAGCUAUAUGCACUGCAUUGUUUCCAUGUUUGUCCUCCUGAGAAUACACGGACUCUGGAUACUUUCCCUCUAUUAGCCAGUUAUAGACCAUUGUCUGCCUAUGCUCUACAGCCAAAAGAAGUAUGUUCUUCUCUUCAGAGUCCGUAUCUUGAAUGGCUAUUGGGAACUUUUUGAGUAUCCUCUUUACCAUCUCUAGAAUACCCAUCUUUGAUGCCACUAAUAGCGGUGUCUCCUUGGUCAUGGGCAAUUCUGUAUUUAGAACUAUAGUCAUUCUAGUUGCUAUUAGUGAACUCAUAGCUUCUAUUAAGUUAUAACUGCUUUAAAAAAAGAAGAAAAUUGAUCCUGAUUUGGAAUUGUAGAGAAAAUUUUCAGCAUGUUGAUAUUAUUGAUCUAGAACGACGACGACAACUUGAGUUAUUAAAAUUGUAAAGUCUUGAUGACACGGAACAAAGUUUCCUUGCCACACAAUUAUGACUAGGGAAAAAAGACUCUUUACCGGAUUUGGAAUCAUCUGUCUUAAUUUCAUCUGUGCUAGAAGUUUGUGAUUGCUUGAUCGCUUCAGUGUUACUAGAGACGUCUUCCUCUGUAGUAUCAUCAGCUAUUUCAGGAGGUGCGGGAGGAGGUGCUCCAAUUCGGUUAUAUCUGUCUCGACUAUACAGGUUUGCUGGCUUCUCCCCGGUAUUUUUAUAGAAUUGGUAACGUUUUUCUUUCUCAAUCAUCAACUUCAUAAUUUGAACUCCCGCUCUACGUUUACUUUUCUUUUCCUUUAUUUUUUUAAUCCUUUCGAGUCCUGCAUGAAACAAGAUUUGAAUACUCUCUAUUGUCAUUAAUUUCCAAGCAAGGGGUGAAGCAGAAAAUAUAUCAGAAAGGGAUGGGAACUACAUUGUUCGAAAGAUUAGUAAGUCUGAUUCUUUUAGAAUUACGGUUGUUGCAUUCAAUAGUUAAGAAAUGUAUGCAUGCUUAAAAUAGAAAUGUCGCAAGAAUAAUUCUUACCGAUACCCGAUACAAGUAGUACAACCUUCAUUAGACAUUUGAGGAACUCGAUAAAGAUGGCAUAAUUGGCUGUAAACAACCUCCUGUUUCCCUUCCCUUCAGCUGGAACUCAACAGAUCAGUUGUUAGCAGAAAUAUGUAGGAGAAUCGUGCACUCUUUUAUUAAUUUUCUUCACAUAGAAAAUGUUCACAUAACUUGGAAUCGAAGGAUCUCAAUGCUUUGAUUUUAAUGGAGAACAUCAUACUUUUAGAAUGUACCUCAUUAUUUAUUUUUGAUACUUUCUGUGUGUUAGCGUGUAUACUUAGAGCCUGUUUUGAUUGACUUAUUCUAAGUGCUUUUAAGACAAAAUAGCCUUUAAGCACUUUUGUAGUGUUUGAGUAAAAUAGGGAAAGUGUUUUUAAACCAAAAAGGCAAAAGUAAGCCAAAAGCGAUAAGUUAGAAUUCCUAACUCAUGACUUUUGUCUUAUAAACCAAAAGCUAUACGCCCAUCCAAAUAGGCUUUAGUGGAAUUACAUCUAAUCAUCGCACUUGGAGGUAAUAUUUAGUUUCAACUGCGCUACAUAUACAAAUGUAUGUGUUCAUCUUCAGUAGAAGGAUUCUUGAGAUCUAAGUUGCUCGGACUCUCCAAAAAUGUUGCCGCACCCAUGUACGAUUCUUCAAAAAUACACUAUUUUUGGAGGAUCUGACACACACCCGUAGACAUUUUUGAUGAGUUCGAGCAACUUAGCUUGCGAUCAUUUGGAUUGCCUUGGUGUGGAGAGAAUGGAAAUACGUUGGUAUGAAUAAGAGUUAUCCUCAUGAUAAAGAUCAUGUAUCAUAGAUUUCUUGCCUGUUAGUAACCUGCUUAAGUCGGCAUAACCUGACAGGUUUAUAUGUAGUCACAUACCUGGAUACUUCUUGUCUUGAUUCUCAUUAGUAACUCCAGUAGCAUCUGGAUAAAGAACAGAAUUAGUGUUUGAAUGUGCAAAAUUCUUAGGUAUAAAGUGCCAACAACACUCUCACAAUGAGAUGCUCAGUACAUUUGGUUAGUUCAUUGUCGAAAAAAGAUCGGUGUACUUCUUAACUCGACGAGAAUGAGUUGAUAAAGGUUCCUAUGUAAUUAUGCACACCUCUUCUUGAUAUUUGUGUGCAAGUUUUGAUGAAUUAUAUCUAAUCGUUAUAGCUUGAGGUAAUAGUUAGUUUCAACUGUGGUAUUUAUGCAUGUAUUCACCUUGAAUUGGGGGAUUCUCGGGAUCAUUUUGACUAUCACUUUGAUGACCUUGGUCUGUGGUAAAAGAAAAAUUAGUUAUUACUAGUAAGAGUUAUCCUCCUGAAAUAUGUAUAUCAUAGUUUAAUUCCACAUAACCUGAAGAGCUUAUUACAUAAUCACGUACCUUGAGGCUUCGUCGCUUGAUUCACGUUAGUUACUCCAGUUAAAUCUGGAUAGAAAAGAGAAUCAGUCUUUGGAAAAAAGGGGCAUCCCGGUGCACUAAAGCUCCCUCUAUGUGCAUGGCCGGACCACAAGAGUCUAUUUUGCGCAGCCUUACCUUGCAUUUCUGCAAGAGGCUGUUUCCACGGCUUAAGCUUGUGACCUCCUGGUCACAUGACAGAAUCAAUCUUUUAGCAAAUUGUUGAGAUGAACAAGAAGAAAGGCUUGAGGUUUCCAGCUCAAGUAGGAACUAAGUAGCUGAAGUUAAAAGAAACACUACUCAUAACUAACUUUGUGAAAAGUCAGUUAUGACAGUUAAGAGGUAGUUAGAAUUAGUAACUCUAGAAGGUUCUAUACUUGUCUAUAUAUAGUGAUCACUCAUGUAUAUGUAGCCAUAUGAUCAAGAUAGAGAUUGAUUCAUCUCAUCCAUGUUUACAAACUAUCUGAUAACACUCUCUUCUUCCCAUCAAUUCUCUCUUUUUUCUCUCUUUCUUCAUUUCUUUCUUUCUUUCUGAUUCUAUAGCUUCCUGAGAGAAGCAUUGUUAUUCUUUGUACUCUUGAUGAGAUUCUUUCAUUUAGAUCAUAUAAUUCUACACAAAUAAAAUUCUUAGGUACUAAGUUCCAACGAGAAUCCCCUGAAGCACUCGUAUCAUUUGGUUAGUUCAUUGCGAAAAAAGAGAUUGGUACUAUUGGUUAACUCGGCAUGGGUGGAGUAAUCAAUGUUUCAAUAUAAUCACGUACCUUUAGACUUGUUCCCACGAUAUGCUUCUUUGAUAUAAUCUGGGAUAGAAAAGAGAAAAUCAGUCUUGGUAAUGUAAACCUUUUAGGUAGGAAGUGCCAACGACAGUCUUUCAUACACUCUUUAGUGCAUUUUCAAAUGAGAUUGGUCUAUCACUUUCGAUGAACUCCCAAAGCAAGUGAGCAACGUCCUUGUUUUGAUUGGAGUCUGUUGGCAUUUCCUACCUAACGAGUUUUUGUACUAGUAUAAUGUACUAUACAGAUUAGAUGAAACAUUGAUCACUGUGGUAAAUCUACCGACCAAUGAAUUUCUUUGUCCCACACCAUUGUAUUUUCUGGUAUAAGUCUAUUUUUCUUUCAGCUUUAUAUGUCUCUUUCUCUAGCUCUUUGACAGUUAUGCCUGGAUAAAAGAACUCAGUAGCUAUAUAACCUCCACAAACGAUGAACAUAAACUAUUAUGCAAAAGUAUUGGGUGUGUAUGGCUAACAGAAAACUGUAAAUGUGUUGGGCUGACACAAAGAGCUAUGCCACUUUUUGACACAAAAGGCCAGACUUACUGUAGUAGAUAAUGCUAUCGAUGAAUCGAAAACGGUUGCCACUUCUGAAUACUUGAGGCAUCCUGGAAAGGAUGUGUAGAGGAGACAUGCCUUGUGUGUUGUAACGGUUGACGAGUGGCUUAUAGUAAUGUAUUAUCUGAAAAGCCAGUUCUGUUACAAGAGAAGUUGUUAAUACUACUAUCCCAUUCUACAAGAAGAAGAACUUAAUAUAUGGAUAUAUAGUCAAACUUCUCUAUAAUGACGUCGUUUGUUUCGAUUAUUUUUGGCUAAUAUAGCGAAAUGCUGUUAUAAAGAACAUAUAAUAUAACAUAAUAUGAAAAUCAGUUUAAAAAAGUAUUUGGUUGUUGGUGAAAUAUUGUUAUAGCGGAUGACUGUUGUAGAGAGGUCUAACUGUAUAAUCGAAUUGUCUGCUUAUGGCUCUUACCAAAGUACUCGCCAGAGAUGGCGACGUGUAGAAUAUUGUCCCCAUCUUUUCUUCUACAAAGUUCGAUUGGACCUUCUUCGUUUUCGUUUUGACAACAUUUAUGUAGGUAGAGAAAAGCGUCUUGCUUGCCGCAAGAAGCAGUUAUGAAUAAGGGGGUUUCCCCUUUUUCAUUGGUCUCCCAGAUGAGUUCAGGUUCUUCUGAGUUCACCAAACACUCAAUAAUGGGGACACUCCCGAGUUCUGCUGCAAGGUGAAGAGGUGUGUUCC
rnacentral:lncRNA from 1 species